GCCCGUGUAGCUCAGCUGGUAGAGCGCUCGGCUCUUAAACGUGUGGUCGAGGGUUCAAACCCCUCCCCGGGCG